rnacentral:rRNA from 1 species
AUGAAGUCGGAAUUGCUAGUAAUCGUAGGUCAGCAUACUACGGUGAAUACGUUCCCGGGCCUUGUACACACCGCCCGUCAAACCAUGAGAGUUGGCAACACCCGAAGUCGGUAGUCUAACCGCAAGGAGGACGCCGCCGAAGGUGGGGUUGAUGAUUAGGGUUAAGUCGUAACAAGGUAUC